GAUUACCGGAGUUUAUAAUCUAUUUCUCUCUCUUCCAUAUUUUUGCUUUUUCUUUUAAAGAAAAAGUCACACUUACGCCUUCUAUAUGUGCCACAUUUGCAGAGUCUCCUCCUUUGUUCAAAUUUAACUUCACUUUCCUUUUUUUUCCCCUUCAAUUCUUAGAAAGUAAUCCUUUCUCUCUCAGUGUGCUCACUUAGAGCAUCUACUCACUUUUAAUGGAGGAAAAAGAAAGUACAAUUACUGGGUUACCAGGAUACUCGGAGACCGACUCGAGCAGCGUGGUUAUGCCGCUGGUGAUGACUAUAAACAUGAACAUGGCUGCAGAGAACAUGAGCAUGGAAAGAAGCUUGAUUGCAACAACUACACCACCAACCACAGGAAUUGAUGGUCCUGAUGGAGGAUCAGGACACCCAGCAAAUGGAAGUGAGGAUUUGAUUGGGAAAAAAGAAUAGAGUAAGACCAAAAAAGUAUGAUUCAGAUGGCAACCUGAGAGUGCAGCCAUUUCAUCAUCAUAAAGCAGUGCCUAGAGGAGCUUUAACAUCACCACCUGCUGGUUUCUCUUUCUCUCCUUCUACUCCUUCUGAUGGCUUAAUCUCUUCUUUGAAAAGACGCCGAGGCAAAGAAACCAGAAAUUGAAAGGGAAAAGAAAACAGCUUUAGGAGACAAAAGCAGCCUAGUUUACUGUUUUUAGGCUUGCUUUUGUUUUGUGCCUUUUCGAUACUGAUUGGUUCCAGAGAAAGAUGUAGGAAAAUAUAUGUGUGAGAAUUUUGUAGAUUACAAUUAUCUUUUUUUUUUUCUGAAACAAAAAUCUAAAAGAUUCAAACCUACUAUAUCCAAUUAUGACAUUUAAGAAUCAGGGAAAGAAAAGAAAUCGGUUGAAGGACUAGAAAAUUCGUUAAUUUUGCAAUGCUUUACAUUGACAAUUAUUUUAUUGGAUAUGAAACAAAGAAGAUAUGAUUUAGAUGAUGAAUUUCAUCCAUAUAUUGAUGAUGGAAGAAAUUUAGCUAAACCUUCUUCAUUUUGAUGUUUGAUUUUCCAAUUUUAGAGAGAGAAAAAUAAUUGUACUUAUCUUUUUUUUUCUUUUUUUCUCCCUUAUUAGAUUAUGUCUGAUAAUAUAGGUUUUGAUCUUGAAGGUGAGUUGUUUGCUAACACAGCAGGAGGUGACUUCACUCCUCAUGUGGUAAUUGUGAAUACAGGAGAGGUUCUUUAUUACUACUUUUCUUGUUUAUUAUUCUACUAAUUAAGAUUUAAGAAUUAGUUUGCCAUAAUUUAGAAAGUAGCCUUACACUAGCCUUACACUAUUACUUUCAGGAUGUUGCAGGGAAAAUUCUAGCAUUUGCUCAGAAGGGUCCAAGAGGAAUUUGUAUUCUAUCUGCAAAUGGAGCUCUUUCUAACGUCACCAUUCGCCAACCAGGUUCAUCUGGUGGAAUCUUGACAUAUGAGGGCCGUUUUGAGAUAAUUUCAUUAUCUGGGUCAUUCACAGUCACUGAAACUGGUGGUCUAAGAAGUAGGACUGGUGGACUGAGCGUAUCGUUGGCUAGUGCUGACGGUCGUGUAAUUGGCUGUAGAAUUGCAGGCCUCCUAUUGGCAGCCAGCCCUAUCUAACUUCAUUUGCCAAAUGAAAUGAACGCACACAAGAGAAAGCACCAUCGUGAAAAUGCAAUCGGUUCUCGGAUCCCUGCAGGUGCUCAAGAUGUACCGACAGAAGCAAGACCUAUCUCAGAGGCAAAACCUGUUGGUGAGACAUGUUUAAUCUCCGCAUCUUCAUUGCCAGAACAGAGCCAUGAAGGAGCAGAAAACAGUGCAAGCGACCAACAGAUAUCAAAUGCUGCAAAUCCAUUUACUCCCUGUUUGAAUGUAUCACAACACAUGUAAUCAGAAACCAUCCCCUGACAUCAAUAUGAAUGAAGAGGAUGCACAUGGUACUUAAUUCGUUGAUUUAGUGCUUAAUUUUAUUUCAGUUAGUAGUACUUGACAAACUCGGAGGCUGAAAAGACAAACCAAAAGACGCUAAUUCUAUUUGUAUUGUAAUAAGGACAAUCACAUAUAUGAAAAAAAAAAUCCCUCACGAUUUUCAUCACCAA
rnacentral:misc_RNA from 1 species